rnacentral:rRNA from 1 species
UACGGGAGUGGCAAGCGUUAUCCGGAAUUAUUGGGCGUAAAGCGUCCGCAGGCGGUCUUGUAAGUCUGUCGUUAAAGCGUGGAGCUUAACUCCAUUUAAGCGAUGGAAACUGCAAGACUAGAGUGUGGUAGGGGCAGAGGGAAUUCCCGGUGUAGCGGUGAAAUGCGUAGAUAUCGGGAAGAACACCAGUGGCGAAGGCGCUCUGCUGGGCCAUAACUGACGCUCAUGGACGAAAGCCAGGGGAGCGAAAGGGAUUAGAUACCCCUGUAGUCCUGGCCGUAAACGAUGAACACUAGGUGUCGGGGGAAUCGACCCCCUCGGUGUCGUAGCCAACGCGUUAAGUGUUCCGCCUGGGGAGUACGCACGCAAGUGUGAAACUCAAAGGAAUUGACGGGGGCCCGCACAAGCGGUGGAGUAUGUGGUUUAAUUCGAUGCAACGCGAAGAACCUUACCAGGGUUUGACAUCCUGCGAAUCCCUUGGAAACGAGGGAGUGCCUUCGGGAACGCAGUGACAGGUGGUGCAUGGCUGUCGUCAGCUCGUGUCGUGAGAUGUUGGGUUAAGUCCCGCAACGAGCGCAACCCACGUCGUUAGUUGCCAGCAUUCAGUUGGGCACUCUAGCGAGACCGCCGGUGAUAAACCGGAGGAAGGUGUGGAUGACGUCAAGUCAUCAUGCCCCUUACAUCCUGGGCUACACACGUACUACAAUGCUACGGACAAAGGGCAGCAAACUCGCGAGAGCUAGCAAAUCCCAUAAACCGUGGCUCAGUUCAGAUCGUAGGCUGCAACUCGCCUACGUGAAGGAGGAAUCGCUAGUAAUCGCAGGUCAGCAUACUGCGGUGAAUACGUUCCCGGGCCU